GAUGAACGCUGGCGGCGUGCCUAAUACAUGCAAGUCGAGCGAAUGGAUUAAGAGCUUGCUCUUAUGAAGUUAGCGGCGGACGGGUGAGUAACACGUGGGUAACCUGCCCAUAAGACUGGGAUAACUCCGGGAAACCGGGGCUAAUACCGGAUAACAUUUUGAACCGCAUGGUUCGAAAUUGAAAGGCGGCUUCGGCUGUCACUUAUGGAUGGACCCGCGUCGCAUUAGCUAGUUGAUGAGGUAACGGCUCACCAAGGCAACGAUGCGUAGCCGACAUGAGAGGGUGAUCGGCCACACUGGGACUGAAACACGGCCCAGACUCCUACGGGAGGCAGCAGUAGGGAAUCUUCCGCAAUGGACGAAAGUCUGACGGAGCAACGCCGCGUGAGUGAUGAAGGCUUUCGGGUCGUAAAACUCUGUUGUUAGGGAAGAACAAGUGCUAGUUGAAUAAGCUGGCACCUUGACGGUACCUAACCAGAAAGCCACGGCUAACUACGUGCCAGCAGCCGCAGUAA
rnacentral:rRNA from 1 species